rnacentral:tRNA from 1 species
GGUUCUAUGGCCGAAUUGGUAAAGGCAUCGCCGAUCACAGGCGAGGGUACGGGUUCGAGUCCCGCUGGAACGA